GGGAGGCUGAGACCCAGAGCUCACGAUGUGCCUUUGGCGGAGGCCGUGGGGACACCACCACCCAACGCCUCCGGUCUGGGGCCGUCUCUCACCCCAGGUGCCGGUGGGGAAGGCCAGUGCUGGGGAUGCUGCAGACUGCACACAGGGUAAGCUCCGCCAAGCCCCGCUGAGCCCUGAGCAGCACGCAGAGCAGUGACUGGAGCUGCCUUUUUCCAGCUGUCAUCAAAGAAACGGAGAAGAAGGUGGAAUUCGCAGUUGCCGAAGAGCCAGUCCCCGCGUCGGCAUCGGUGUUUGAGAGCGUGGGGAGCAGCGUGCUGUCCUGGAUCUCCCAGGGGCUGGAGAAGGUGGUCCCACAGCCGGCCCCGGCCCUGGGGUCACUGCAGGCGCUCGGGAAGAGCUUCGAGACCAGCGUCGACGUCCCCGACCAGACUGAGGUGCAGGUCCUUAAGGAUGAGGAUGAGGAUGCUCUUGGUAAGGGGAGCAGUGAGCCCACGGCUUGAGGUUCCCUCCUGGUUGCCAGCCCCUGGACACCCAAUCCUGCUCUCCCUGCAGAGAUCACCCCCUUUGACCCCGAGGAGGACGAGCAGGAUGGCUGCGAGCUGGAGGAUAGCUUGGGCACGAGCACAGAGACCUGGUGGGUUCCCAGUGUGCAGCAUCCCAUCAGCAGGAGGAGGGGUGGCAUAGGGUGGAGAGAUGUGGGGUACAGGGCAUGGGAUGGAGGGAUGCGGGAUAUGAAAUGAGCAGACAGGGGAUGUGAGAUGCAGGAUGUAGGAUAUGAGUUUGGGGGUGAACAGACGUGGGAUGUGGGAUGCAGGAUUCAGGAUAUGGGAUUUGGGGUGGGCAGACGUGUGAUGUGGGAUGCAGGAUGCAGGAUGUGGGAUGGAGGGACGUGGGUUGUGGGAUUUGGGAUGGACGGAUGUGGGAUGCAGGAUGAGGGAUAUGGAAUGAUGUGGAAUGUGGGAUACAGGAUUUAGGAUGGAGGGAUGUGGGAUAAGGGAUUGUAGGGUGAGGGAUUUGGGAUAAGGGAUUGUGAGAUGAAGGAUGUGAGAUGUAGGAUGCAGGAUUUGAGAUUGACUGACACAGAACAUGGGAUGGAGUGAUGUGGGAUGGACAGGCACGGGAUGGAGGGAUGUGGGAUGGAGGGAUGCAGGUUGGGAGAUAUGGGAUAGGCGAUGUGGGAAU
rnacentral:lncRNA from 1 species